UUAAUUGAAGAGUUUGAUCAUGGCUCAGAUUGAACGCUGGCGGCAGGCCUAACACAUGCAAGUCGAGCGGCAGCACAGAGGAACUUGUUCCUUGGGUGGCGAGCGGCGGACGGGUGAGUAAUGCCUGGGAAAUUGCCCGGUAGAGGGGGGAUAACCAUUGGAAACGAUGGCUAAUACCGCAUAACCUCGCAAGAGCAAAGCAGGGGACCUUCGGGCCUUGCGCUACCGGAUAUGCCCAGGUGGGAUUAGCUAGUUGGUGAGGUAAG
rnacentral:rRNA from 1 species